rnacentral:SRP_RNA from 1 species
CCGUGCUAAGCGGGGGGCUGGCGGUACCCUGUACCGGCAAUCCGCCAUAGCCGGGCCGAAUUCCCGCCCGAGGUGCCGCCGUUUGGGGUCUGACCCAGGUAAGUGGCGAUGAUGGCUGGGUCCCGCGCAAGGCUGCGCCGGUGAACCCCGCCAGGCCCGAGAGGGAGCAACGGUAGCCGGACUGUGGCCUGUGCCGCGGGGGCGCCUGGCCGGAGCUGGCUGUCUGGGUAACGCCUGGGCGGCGCGCAUCGACGGUGGGUGCACGG